UUACAACGAAUACUGCCCUAGUAAAAAAUAUGUUUUCUUGCAGUGUCAGAGUUUCAGUAAGGUUUUAGAAGUGAUGCUCAUUGAAGGAUCGAGCCAUUGGCUGUGCUCAUGGUUUUUUUUUUGUGUUUUUUGUCUUCGCUGAUCCCAGAGUUGCUGAGAGAGUCUUAUUGCUCCUACACGUACUUGAAAUCAUGUAGCAGCAAUGAGAUGUUUAAGGAUCAUUGGCUUGAAGGUCACGACUUUUUUUACGUAUAACCGAGAAAAAAGAAGUCCAAGAAGGUCGUUGAGCAAUACUGGGAGUGGAAGCUUAGUAAUGAGACGCAACCAAGUUGGAUUCGGGACUCUAAGGAGGUGACAACAGUGGAGUAAAAUGAGUUUUACAGAAUAACUUUCAACAAGUAUAUGGACCCAUUAACAUCACUUCAAAACAGAGGUACGUUGGAGGGAAGACAUAUGUUGGAAUAGUAUAUAUCCAUGAAACAAUCCAAGCAGCGUGAGGUCGAGUUUAGAUCCAUGGGCCGAUGAUGUUGUUAAUUAAAAGAGAAAGAACAUAAGUCUCUAUGUAAACGAGUUGUCAAGUGAUUUUGACGGGAAGCUGGUGAGAGAAGUAUCUCUUUGAUGUGGUCUUUCAAGAGAUUUGUAUUUCUAUUUUGUAUUGCUAUCCGCUUUUGUGGUGCUUUGUGAUCAGAUUCCUCAGUAUUUAAGCUUUAUCAUGGGUGUUUGUGGCAUCACACGAUCUCCCAUUAACGUGUAAAAUGAGAUUCUUCAAGAGAGUCACAUUUUAAGUGUUAAUAUCGAUUUUUUUAUGUAAAGCCUUCAAGAUAUUUGUUAUGUUCUAU